GACGGGUGAGAAUCCCGUCCACCGAUUGACUAAGGUUUCCAGAGGAAGGCUCGUCCGCUCUGGGUUAGUCGGGUCCUAAGCUGAGGCCGACAGGCGUAGGCGAUGGAUAACAGGUUGAUAUUCCUGUACCACCUAUAAUCGUUUUAAUCGAUGGGGGGACGCAGUAGGAUAGGCGAAGCGUGCGAUUGGAUUGCACGUCUAAGCAGUAAGGCUGAGUAUUAGGCAAAUCCGGUACUCGUUAAGGCUGAGCUGUGAUGGGGAGAAGACAUUGUGUCUUCGAGUCGUUGAUUUCACACUGCCGAGAAAAGCCUCUAGAUAGAAAAUAGGUGCCCGUACCGCAAACCGACACAGGUAGUCAAGAUGAGAAUUCUAAGGUGAGCGAGCGAACUCUCGUUAAGGAACUCGGCAAAAUGACCCCGUAACUUCGGGAGAAGGGGUGCUCUUUAGGGUUAACGCCCAGAAGAGCCGCAGUGAAUAGGCCCAAGCGACUGUUUAUCAAAAACACAGGUCUCUGCUAAACCGUAAGGUGAUGUAUAGGGGCUGACGCCUGCCCGGUGCUGGAAGGUUAAGAGGAG
rnacentral:rRNA from 1 species